rnacentral:rRNA from 1 species
UACGUAGGGGGCGAGCGUUGUUCGGAUUUACUGGGCGUAAAGGGUGUGUAGGCGGUUGUUUAAGUUUGGUGUGAAAUCUCCCGGCUCAACUGGGAGGGUGCGCCGAAUACUGAGCGACUAGAGUGCGGGAGAGGAAAGUGGAAUUCCUGGUGUAGCGGUGAAAUGCGUAGAUAUCAGGAGGAACACCGGUGGUGUAGACGGCUUUCUGGACCGUAACUGACGCUGAGACACGAAAGCGUGGGUAGCAAACAGG